GUGGUUCAUGACUGGGGUGAAGUCGUAACAAGGUAGCCCUAGGGGAACCUGGGGCUGGAUCACCUCCUUACCUAAAGA
rnacentral:rRNA from 1 species